GGAAAAUCUGAGUACUUGGUUUGGCGUCAGAAGAUUUGAGCUGGAGCCUGGGCACUGCUAUGUGAAUCUGGGAAAGUCAUUUGAAUUUUCCAAGCCUUGAUGUUUUUAUCUGUAAAACUGGAGUGAUGGUACUGCUUGUUGCCUACUUCAAGGGGUUGUUGGAAGGGGAGAGGAAAAUUAACGUCAGAUGAUAAGACACAGAAAAUGCAAAACACAGUGGGAUGUUAUGAACACUCAAGGAAGGGGAAACCAAAUGGAGGAGCUACGUCAACAUUUAAUCUGAAUAAAAGAUGCAGCACCCCUAACUCCCUGCUGAGUGCAUCCUCUCAUCUGAAGCCACUUCUAAGGACUUUUGUAGAAAUGUUGACUCUUGAGCCAAAGGAUUACAGUGAACAUGCGUCUCUGAGUGAUACUGGAGGAGAUUUCAGCUCCCAAAGACCUCUGAGAGGAGGGCAAAUGUUCAGAGAGGGCAAGUGGACAGGUCCUAUGGAGAAUGGUGAGCAAUGCAGGCAGAGCCACUCUGAAAACACACAACAUUCCAGGUGAGGAACUUGCUGACCUGGCUGCAGUCAAACACUCACUCAGAGCUGAGCUUGGCCAUGGGCAGGUUCAC
rnacentral:lncRNA from 1 species